rnacentral:tRNA from 1 species
GGGCGCGUGGCUCAGAUGGUUAGAGCGCUACCCUGACACGGUAGAGGUCGGAAGUUCGAUUCUUCUCGUGCCCA